CAGAAGAAAAUUCAUAUCGAUAUUAAUAUAUAGAUAGAACAUAUGUCGCGCGAGUUUGAUAAGUACGUAUUUUCUUCUCUAAUAUUUAUACGAUGCAUCUAUAUUUUUCAUCAUGCUUCGUGAAAACUUGAAAAAAUAUAAACACCGAAUUUUCAUCGUUUCAUUUUAAAUUUAUAUUUUAGCUCAAAAUCGAUUCGUACUUAUUUAUGCUUGCUCAAAUCUAUUACCGAGUUUUAAUAUUAUUUUUAAUUUGCGUUAUCAAAGUAGCUCUGCUAAAUGGGCUUUUACGUAGUUUUUUAACGUUAAAAGUAAUGCGCGCCAAAUAACGGCCAUCGAUUUCCACGUGCACUGGAUGCAUUCGAAAGUUCACCUUUUUCUCUUUCUUUUUCUCUUUCUUUACACUUUAUUUACACUUUAUUUACACUUUAGUGAUUUACUUUAAUCGUUUCGAUCGAUUCAUUUUCAUCCCUCUACGUUCAUAUAUAACAUAAUUUUCAUAUUUUCUAAUAGUAAAUCGAAUGAAAAAAAGAAACGUCCCCCUACGCAGUCUCAAAUUGGCUGUAUGUUUGUUCUGUGGAUGUCACUAAUUACUAGUAAUUAGUACCUACAUCUUCUUCCGAUACAUCGGUCGAUUGCCAAACGAAUGAUUUUCGAAGAUGCAUCGACCGAAAUAAUCGGAGUAUCGUCGCGUUUAUAAAAUAUUGGCGUGUCGUCGGCUUUCGUCGUAUAUUUAUGUCAUAAUAUUUGGUUUUUCGAAUUUAUCGUUUUUAUACUAGCGCUAGAUAUUGUUUCACGUUUUGACGAUAAUCCUGAUCGAUCGAUUUUCGUAUCAUAUUCGCAUUUCUUAUGCUCUGUAACGUAAAUAUAUACAUAUAUAUGCGCGCGUGUACACGCGAGUCAGUACGACAUUAGGACUUUCCGUAUAUUUCAUCGUAUACAUUACGAAGCAGCAGAGCUCAUCAACUUGGGAUAUCGUGUUUUUAAUUCGCAGCUGCUACAGAAUCUCGGUAUAUAUAGGUAUAUUUCUUCAAUAAAAUUUCACACCGGGCUUAAUAUAGAAAGUGCGACGAAAUUCGUCCUCGAGCAAGAAGACGUCAAGAAAGAGCCGAGUGGUUUCGUUCGGCCGAGUGGUCUCAAGUACCCUCACAUUGUUACAAGAUACCGCGUCGACGUAAAAUUCCGUAUAUUUUUUUCUUGACAAAAUACGCAUUUACUUUAUCAUUCCAAAUAUUUAUCUCGUAUAUUUUAUUUCAAGUAUCUACUACAUUAAAUACGUAUAUCAAUUUUAUCUAUAGCUCCAUACUUUCCAAAUAUUUACUUUUUCAUUUAUAAGUUAUUUAUGAGAUUUCACCAUGUUUAAUCCAUUUUUUUUCGGUCAAUCAGUUUUAACGAAUAAUUGCGUGUGCAAGACGGUCUUACGAUUAGACCAACGUAUUUGUUCGUUUUUUAACUCGUUUUAAUUUUUUUUCUUCACAGCUAACUAGACCGCGAAUGAAAUAAAAUAAAAGUCAAUAAAAUUUCGCCAGUUAGAUUCGA